rnacentral:rRNA from 1 species
GAUUAGCUUGUUGGUGAGGUAACGGCUCACCAAGGCGACGAUCCCUAGCUGGUCUGAGAGGAUGACCAGCCACACUGGAACUGAGACACGGUCCAGACUCCUACGGGAGGCAGCAGUGGGGAAUAUUGCACAAUGGGCGCAAGCCUGAUGCAGCCAUGCCGCGUGUAUGAAGAAGGCCUUCGGGUUGUAAAGUACUUUCAGCGGGGAGGAAGGUGUUGUGGUUAAUAACCG